UACGUAGGUGGCAAGCGUUGUCCGGAUUUAUUGGGUUUAAAGGGUGCGUAGGUGGUCAAUUAAGUCAGUGCUGAAAUAUCCCGGCUUAACCGGGAGGGUGGCAUUGAUACUGAAUGACUUGAGUGGAGUUGAGGUAGGCGGAAUUGACGGUGUAGCGGUGAAAUGCUUAGAUAUCGUCAAGAACACCGAUAGCGAAGGCAGCUUACCAAGCUCUAACUGACACUGAUGCACGAAAGUGUGGGGAUCAAACAGG
rnacentral:rRNA from 1 species